CAUGUUCACGUCAGUUAAGAGCGGAUAUUAGUAGUUAUCUGGGUAGUGCUGUUAGUUGAGGAUAGUAAUUAGAAAUUUUUUUAGUAGUUAUUUAAUUUGAAUUUGAUGUUCCUAUCUCAACUCCUUUGUGACACGUUCCUCCAACCGUUGCCGCCUAAAUUUAUGUCUAUAAACUCCCUUCCACCUCCCUUGGAAUGAUCCAUCCCUAACGCACACUGUUGCUUCUCCCCCAUUAUCUUCUCUCUGCUUAAGGAUUAAUUAUACGAGAAGUCAUAUCUGAGUUAAAACCCUAGAAUUCCCCAACUUGGUUCAGAUGCAACAAAUCCUCUUUUGCUCUGCAACCUCUGAUAGGAAAAUUUUCUUCUCCUGCUGCCCCCACCAGAAAUUACUGGGAUUUGGUAACGUGCUUUUAAUUUUUAAAAGGAUGCGAGAAGGAGAUCAUCCUGGGAAGAAAAAGUAGCGCAUUGAAUCAAAUUUUUAUGGUCUCUGGAUGACAUUUUAAAUGAUGACCACUAUAACCAUGAGGUUUUUUAUCAAAUGUUUUUUGGGUACUUUUACUGCUACUUUAUUUACAAUCAGUUAUUUAAAGGGUAAGAAACCCUUUUGUUUUUUGAAAACUAAUGAAGAACUAGCAUUAAACCCAUUGUUCAUUUGAUACAAGUUUCUAAAGUCAUAUACUAGAUGCAGAUGCAUGCAAUUAUGGAGGAUCUUUUGUGGAAGACAAAAGUAGCAGCUAAGUAUCAAAAUCAUGGCUUUUAGGAGAUGGUCUUAUCAUGGCCUGUUGAGGAUACUUUGAAUGAUGAAGGUGUUCAAAUUUCUUUAGUCGGAUAUGCUUUCUCUUGGCAAUGUUGUAAAAAUACUUGGAUAUGCUCAUAAUCCAUCACUGACAAGAAACUACUCACGAUUGCCGAUGAAACCUUGUCAAAUUCCUUUUAAAGGCCUCGAAAACUGUUGUUGAUUGGGUCCAGAUGCCAUAGAUGAAGGUACCCUUCCACUAACAGCAUCGGUGCCGGCUCUUUUGUCUGCCUGAUCAUUAAGAUGUUUUUUUUUUGUUUAGUAAAGUUCAAUGUAGAGCUAAAGAUAUUGAAUUCUGUUAUAUAUUUCAUGUACAUCUAAAGAUUGAGACCAACGAUUCCUGAAAUCAUCACAUCAAAGAUCAAAGCUCAGGUAGAAUACAUAAAUUCUUAUAGGCCUGGUGUGGGCCAUGCCUCCCGAACUGCUGCAACAUAUCUUCAAUAUGUAAAAGGACAACACUCACAGUAUGACUCACUUCAAUUUUGUUAUAAAAUCUUUUUUAGGCUAAUCACCAGCUAAGGAAGAUGUCACAAGAGAUGUCUCAAUAUUUGAUCUAUUUGAUUCGGUGACUGAUUUAUGCUUUUCAAAUAGAUUAAUAAAGGAAAUGUCGACCUAUAAAGCGUCUAUACAAAUCAAAGAAACGGGUUGAAGAUCACGGGCUGAAACAGGAUGUUGUUGCUAAUGCCUCUAAACCAAAUGCUUAGCUCAUGAUCUCAACUCUCACUGAUUUUUUCCAUCAUGUUAUCAUUGUUAAAAAUAUUGUGGUUUCAUUUCUGUAUGAUAUCAGAGGGAGAUGAAAAAUGGUGCGAUGAAGGAUAGCUUAAUGUUGUUUAGCAAAGGAAGAGGUUAGAGAGUUGUGUGGGUUUAAGCUUGGUGCCAAUGGUCAUGUGAAGGUGCACUAGCUACUGCAAUGGUGACGUUGUUGGCACACUUAGGGUGUUCACUAGCUGUGAUCUUGAAUUCAAUUGUGAUUUGUUCCCCUGGUUGUCAAGAAGGUCAUCCGUUUUUUGUUCAUUCCCUAUACACAUUUCCAUGUUAAGUUGCUUGUGUAUGAUAUGUGUAUUUUGAGUCCACUUUUUGGCAAAGAAUAGUUGACUAUUAUCACAUUGACCUAUGAUUUUACAACAUUGCAGAUUGAUAGCUUCGAACAUUGAGUAUGUGAUGGUCAUAACUUCUAUCUCUUGUGUUUUCUUUUUUGAAAAUUGUAAAAUGUUUUUUUC